AUACGGAGGGUGCAAGCGUUGUUCGGAAUUACUGGGCGUAAAGGACGCGUAGGCGGGUUUGUAAGUCAGGUGUGAAAUCCUACAGCUCAACUGUAGAACUGCACUUGAAACUACAGACCUAGAGUAUGGAAGGGGCAGAUGGAAUUAGUGGUGUAGGGGUAAAAUCCGUAGAUAUCACUAGGAAUACCGAAAGCGAAGGCGAUCUGCUGGGACAUUACUGACGCUGAGGCGUGAAAGCGUGGGGAGCAAACAGGAUUAGAAACCCCAGUAGUCC
rnacentral:rRNA from 1 species